rnacentral:sRNA from 1 species
UGCUGUCAAAGACAGCCACCAAUGUUUCGAGCAUCGAAUAGAUGCCAGUGAUCUGAGAGAAACGCCUUCGGGUGAUCACCAAAAUUGCUGUAGCCUGGAAGGCAAAGCUCAUUAGAGCGGUACAUU